AACAGCUUUCUCUCCAGGGCAGCUCUUAUCACAAAAUACAUGACAAAAGCAGGGAGAGAAAAUAUGCUGACGCAACAGGCCAUGGGUUGGAACAGAAAAAAGACAGAGAACCUCCACAAAGCUUUGGCCCAGAGAUACGUCACAAUCUCAGAGAGGGCAAAACUGGAAGCUGCCAGCCUCAGUGACUUUCAGCAAAAGCAAAACCUC